rnacentral:tRNA from 1 species
GUGGUUAUGACUCAGGGGUAGAGGGCUUGCCUAGCAUGUGUGAGGCACUGGAUUCGAUACCUGGUACCACA